AAAUAAAGUUGGAUUUGAUUUUGAUUUGAUUUUGUUUGGUGUGGACUGAAUACUCAAUACAAUCUAAAUAUGAUACCUCACUGUCUGUCUUUUGACUGAUACUUCUUUUUAAAUGGUCUGGUCAGUUAACAGUGUGUUUGUGAAAUGAUGAUGAUCUCUUUGCAGGCUGUCAGGCUGUCUAGUCACAGAGGAAGGCUGUGCUUCUCUGGUCUCAGCUCUGAGGUCAAACCCCUCACAUCUGAGAGAGCUGGACCUGAGAUACAAUCACCCAGGAGGACUCAGGAGUCAGACUGCUCUCUGCUGGACUGGAGGAUCCACACUGCAGACUGGAGAAACUCAAUGUGGAACAUGGUGGAGAGAACGCAAUGAAACCUGGCCUUAGAAAAUAUGCCUGUGAUCUCACACUGGACCCAAACACAGUAAACAGACUCCUCUCUCUGUCUGAGGAGAACAGAAAGGUGACAUGUAGGAGACAGGAGCGGCGGUAUCCUGGUCACCCAGAUAGAUUUGAGGACUGUGAACAGGUGCUGUGUAGAGAGGGUCUGACUGGGCGCUGUUACUGGGAGGUAGAGAGGAGUGGGGGAGGGGCUGUUAUGGGAGUGACAUAUAAAGGAAUCAAAAGGAGAGGAGGGGGCAUUGACUGUGGGAUUGGAUACAAUGACAAGUCCUGGAGUCUGGUCUGCUCUGACUGCAGUUACAAGGCCUGUCACAAUAAUAAUCACACUACCAUAGACGUCCCUUCCUCCAGCUCCCACAGAGUAGGAGUGUAUCUGGACUGGCCAGCUGGCACUCUGUCCUUCUACAGAGUCUCCUCUGACACACUGACCCACCUGUACACAUUCCACACCACAUUCACCGAGCCCCUCUAUCCAGGGUUUAGGGUUUAUGAUGUUACCUCCUCAGUGUCCCUUUGUCAAGUGGUCACUGUGUCAAACACAACAUGAUGUUUCACUCUAAUCAUGUGUUUUAUAUUUGAUCACAAUAUGACAUUUAAAUACACGGAGGAACACACACACCAGUUUGGACCAGUUUAUUCCUGGAAAAAUAACCAUGGUAACUCUGUGUCCGUCUCUUUCUGUGAUCCUGCGCCCUGUGAGAACACACACACACAAACACACACACAGGACACACAUACGCAACAGACACACACACGCACUGGACACACAUACACAUACUGG